rnacentral:misc_RNA from 1 species
CUCAGACGGCACACUUUCAAACUGAGCCUUAGUAGCAUACUUAGAAAUGUGAAUUCUAUUACGCGCAGCUGAGUUUGCUGAACAUUUUUUGGUUUAUCAUCUUUCUUUAAGUCGUUGUCUCUUUUACAAGAUAAGCAUAUUUCCAUAACUCGAGUGUGGAGAUCCAUGUGAAGAUGACGAGAAAUUUUGUAUUCUGGAUUUGAAGAGAAAUACGAAGAAUAGAUAUAUCAUGCUAUAAAUACAACUACUUGUGACACCAUAUACUACAACCUGCUCCCAUUUUUGCGUAUGGACAAGAACAAGAAAUGGCUAAGCUACAUUCUUCCAGCCUAUUCUGUAUCUUUCUCUUCCUCUUCCUCCUUGUCUCCACUGGCAUGAUCCAUCAUCAAUCUUUUUCCUAUGUCUCUUCAGUUAUCUUUGACAUGUGUCAUCUCCUUGCCAGUAGGAACUUGUGCGUGUGUGUGUGUCUGUGUGUUUGCAUAUUGAAAAUUCAUGAAUGUAUUCUGAUAUUAUGUUUUGUGUAAUGCAGAGAUGCCAGUGACAAAAGCAGAAGUUUGCCAGAGGCUCAGCAAAACAUGGUCAGGAUUUGCUAAGCACUCAAGCCCUGUUGUCAUGAUUUGAUCACCAAGUUUCAUUAUCCGACUCCAUAUGAAUGAUGCUACUACUACCUAAGUGUGCCCGGUAAUGGUAUGAGGUAUCUGCUAAAUAAGCCAUCCAUGGCUCUAUGGGUUGCAACUAUGUCCUCAGUUUCAAGAAUAUUAUUGACAAUAUCAACAAUGUUUAUGUUCUAUGUCCUCAAUGCCAAUAAAUUGUAACUGAAGGUAAUCCUUACCUAUCCUAAAUAUGUUCGUCUCCAUGUCCACAAACCCACACAAACAUGGCUCCCAUAUAUCAAACGAAAACAAAUAUUAGGAGGGGAAGAAAAUCUCCUGGAAGUUCCAUUUCAAUACCGUUUUUAAGAGAUGAAGGUAAAAAAUGGACAGGUUAAAAAUCAAGUAUAAAAGGACAACAACCAUCUUAACUGCAUCCAACAACAGUACCAUCUUCAUUCGACAGGAUUUCACAUCCUCUUCAAACAAGCAUAAUCCCAUGAUCAAAGAUAGGUUAAAUAAGAAGUCCUUGCUUAACAGUUUUCAAGAAUUCCAUAACAUGUUGGCAGUAAAUUCACAACCCAUUGAAUCAAACAGAACGCAAACAACAAAACAUUUGCAGGACAGAAAAUCAUCGUUGUUUAAUAUUUGUAAGUAAUUCCAUGACAUCUCUUUCAUCCUCUCAAGUAUGAUUUACCAAGCAUGUUUCAGUGCCUUAUCAUUAGACAUUGUUCAAAAAUGUGAAGUUACUUUUAGCAUAGCAUGAUGUGCAAUCUAUCCCAAAACUGUAACCUUUUUUGGCUUCCUGAAAAUUCAAAUAGAUCCCUCAAAUAUUGCAUAGCAUGCUAAAAAUGAGUUAUAAUUCAAUUCAAUUUGUUGUAUUUUGGUGCAAUUUUCAGUAACUGAACCCAUGCAUAAGCAUCAAGAUUCAACAGAUUGUUGCAUUACAGAAGCAACAAAAGCUAAACACAUGUUAGGCACAAUUUCAACUCCAAACUUUGCAUUUCAUCAAACAACUAACAAUCGAAUAACAAACACCAAAUAAACACAUACCCUUUUUAACUCGAUCUCUUGUUUCUAUUUCUUCUUGCCUUAGCCAGCGGAUUUGCGCCUAGAGGGCAACACAAUUUCACCUUUAAAAACAGGGAUUUCCACAAUCUGCGAGAGCUCACCGAAUUUCUUGCGGAACUUCUCGACCUGGUCAGCGUCUACAACGACGGCCAAGCGGUUUCCGACGUAGAAUGGGUGGUUGCCGGACCAAACUUCCACUACGUACUCCUUCUUGGCCCCACCGGUGGUCAUCACCAGUUCCCCAUUGCAGUACACCUUCGACCUCGUAGAAUUGCAGGUGUAUGUCCUUCUUCCAGCGCGUCACCUGCAGUGCAGAAUUCCCCAAUGCACUGACCUUCACCCACAGCCAACAAUAACGAACAAAUCCAAAUAAACUAAAAACAAUGUGUGUACAGGCAGAGAGGUUCAUUGAGUGGAAGUUGAUAUAAUCUUCCUGAGGGGUAGAAGUGGAGGAUAAGGAGGUUUAAUCUGCAGGAAUGUGAGAGUUGGACAAAGCGCCAUUUAUUUGGUGG